rnacentral:misc_RNA from 1 species
GGAAACGAGUUUACGCAUGUCAAAAUAUUUCAGAAGCGAUGAACAUGAGAAUGAUCCUGAAGUAACAUUUAAGAAUAUUUAGCUAUCAUCAAAAUGUCUUACAGGGAUUUAAGAAAUUUCACAGAGAUGAUGCGGGCCCUUGGCUAUCAUCGUCUCAUCUCAAUGGAAAAUUUUCGCAAUCCCAACUUUCCACUUGUAGCAGAAGUCCUCACAUGGCUAGUGAAAAGGUUUGAUCCCAAUGCUGAUGUGCACCCAGAUAUCGACACAGAACAGGACAGAGUCAUAUUCAUUAAGUUAGCAGCAGAGUUUAUGGCAACCAAGGCCCACAUCAAGCUGAACACGAAGAAACUGUAUGGUGCUGACGGCUAUGCUGUAAAGGAACUCCUCAAAGCAACCUCGGUCCUGUACAAUGCCACGAAGACUAACGUGGCACAGUCCUUGGAGAAUCCAGAUGAGGAUUCUUCCCACAUUUCAUUUGAUGUCUCAUCCAAGAUAAGUGACCUGAAGGAAGCACGCCGACUGGCAUCAGAGAUCACAUCGAAGGGUGCUAGCCUGUACGACCUUCUGGGGAAGGAGGUCGACCUGAGGGAAAUGCGUGUGAUGGUGGUUGGUCGGACGCUAGAGAUAAAUGAAGUGGAGGGCGGACUACAAGCCUCUAUCAGGGCUGUUGAGAAUGAAAUAAAGAAGACUCUGAACAUGCUGGACAACGUGGCGUCCGACGAGGCCAACCUGGAGGCAAAGAUUGAGAAGAAGAAGACGGAGCUGGACCGGAACCAGAAGAGGCUGCAGACUCUACAGAGUGUCAGGCCAGCCUACAUGGAUGAGUACGAGAAGCUGGAGGAAGAUCUGCAGAAGUUGUAUGAUGCCUACCUCAUCAAGUUCCGCAACCUCACCUACCUAGAGCAGCAGCAGGAGGAGUACCACCGUGUCGAGGCCGAUAAAAUCGAGGAGACGGAGGCGGUGUUGAAGGUGAUGGCGGAGAAGAUCCGCACCGAAGAGAGGAAACAGCAGCAGAUAACCCCUGAAGAUGAACAGGACGACGACAUGUUCGGCCCAGAUGAUGAUGAUGAUAAUGAAUCCGAGGAUGAUCAUGUUGAGAAGAAACAGAGGCCAGUCCACCAUCGCACACGACCAGAAGCUGCUACAGGGGCCAGGACAAUAGGGAACCAGAUGGUGCGGGGAGGCAUGAACCCAGACAUCAGUGAGGAAAGUGGGUCAGAAGGGUCAGGAGACUCUGAGAUCGACCUGGACGAUGACGACGAUGAUGAUGAUGAAGAGGAUGACAGCGGUGAGGAGGUGGAGAUGGGGCCAGGGCCGCCGAGGAGGCGGGCCCAACAACCACAGCCAGGACUUGAUGAUAGUGACAAUGACUUCUAAUCUCUGUACCCUACAAGACAUGAAGCAUGUCUCUCCACAUUCCACAUGGCCUGACUACCUUUGUGCAGUGACAGCGGAAUCUCAAGCUUGUAGUCAUUUUCAGAAAAGAAACUGAUAUUUUGCAGCAAAUAUUUGACAUAUCAAUACUUUCCUAAUACUUGACUUUAUAACCUUUGUUCACAUGGACCCAGAUGUCUUAGAAGUCAGAAACCAUUGUGUCUCGAAAGCCUUUCCCACAUUCUCCUUAUGUAGCCGUACAAUGACAUGGUUAUCUGGUAGUUUUAAACAAGUACAUUGUGAAGGGGUGGCCUGGUGGUUAAACCAGUCUCUCAUCAUGCUGAAGGCCCAGGUUCGAUUCCCCACAUGCAUACAAUGUGUGAAGCUCAUUUCUGGUGUUCCCUGCCGUGAUAUUGCUGGAAUAUUGCUAAAAGCAGCAUAAAACUAUACUCACUCGUUGUGAAGGGACAUGUCAUAGCCACAGUGUUAACAUCUAUAUGGUGGGACAUUGGUUAACCCAGGGUUAGAAAUUGGCACUAGUCCUAUAGUCCUUGCCAAACUGUCCAAUGGUAAAGGUAUCAUAAGGACUAGUAGAAAAUUGCCAUUUUUAAGGGUUUUGCUAUAUGUUAUCAUUAUAAGGACUAGUGGACGAAAACUGUUAGUUUCUAACGCUGGGACUCAACUUAACCUCUAAGUUUAAACUGAGAACUUGAACACCGUACUGUUUAUCAAGUAAGAUACCGGACCCUAUUUUCAAACAUUUGUUACAACCAACAUACAUGUGAUCACAGCAGUCAGUUUUUCACCUUGCACAAAAUAGUUUCUUAUGCUCUGUGAUGAUGACUCUCUUGUAAAACUGGUUCACUCCCGAGAUGUCAGCAGAAAUUGUCUGGAAAUUGAUGCAUCAUGUUAUACUGAUAUAAACUCCGUCCAAAUGAAUCUCUGUUGUGUGCCUUUUGAUUCUCAGAGAGACUUGCAAACUUUACUUACAUGUUGAUCAUAUUUGUACUAAAGUGACCCUGUGUCAUUAUUGCCGUAAGGUCAAUAGUAUUGGUUACAGCGAAACCAGUGUGUCAUGUGUUCAACACCUAUUGGUGUAGUUCAGAAUCAUCCUUGAUUGAAGCUUUCUUCGGGAAUCUCAAAUGAUUUAUUUGUCUCACAAUGUGUAUCAUCAUAUUUGUGUAUGGUUCAUUAUGGAAAACCCGCCCACAUGUUCCACACCUACCCAUGGACAGCUACUGCCGCUAACUUUGGAUAGCUUCGUAGAAAGUUGUACCAGCUGUUUUGACCAAUCACAGGUCUCUGUACAGUAGAUUCAGAGAAAGUUGAACCAGCUGUUUUGACCAAUCACAGGUCUCUGUACAGUAGAUUCAGAGAAAGUUGAACCAGCUGUUUUGACCAAUCACAGGUCUCUGUACAUUAGCCAACAGCUCACUUAUUCUUCUUAUUCCUCCUGAAGGGAUUUAAGAAACAGUAAGAACUUUCACUUUUCUGGGAAUGUGGUUUGAGAGUUUUAAUUGUGAUUGUUAAUAAACAAAUGGGAAGGACAGAUGUUUAACUGGUACUGAGACAGCAGUAGUCACUGAGUACUGAGUUAAACCAUAAUGGUUUAGUUUUAUGGUUUGAAAAGAAGAGUUUUGACUCAAAGAUUAUAUUUAGAACCAAGUUCUAUUUGAGUGACCAUAGUUUCCCCAUAACUGACUCAGAGAAGAUGUGGAACAUGUAGACAAGGUUUUUCCAUAUGUUAUAAAAGUAUGAUUGUUUUAUAUCUGAAUCAUUGUUGAUCAUGACUUGCAGAAGCAAUAACAUGCAAAUCUAACAGUAAGGAUGAAACUGUUGUUAACCAUUACUUCAUGGUCACUGUUGUUGAAAUAGAGGAGCGUAUUGUCACAGAAUUCAUGGUCACAGUCACAGAAAGUGCUGAUUCAGCAAUAUUUGUAAAUAUAUCUGUGAUAUUAAAUACCCUGAAAAGUU